GACGAACGCUGGCGGCGUGCCUAAUACAUGCAAGUCGAACGCAGUGGGGACGGGUGAGUAACACGUGGGUAACAUACCAUCAGAGGGGAUAAAACUUGGAAACAGGUGCUAAACCGAUAAGGAUGGAUGGACACGCGGUGCAUUAGCUAGUGGGGGAGGUAACGGAUCACCAAGGCCACGAGGCAUAGCCGACCUGAGAGGGUGAUCGUCCACACGGUGACUGCGACACGGCCCAGACUGCUACGUGAGGCAGCAGUAGGGAAUCUUAGGCAAUGGACGAAAGUCUGACCGAGCAACGCCGCGUGAGUGAAGAAGGUUUUCGGAUCGUAAAACGCUGUUGUUAGAGAAGCGUUAUCUAACCAGAAAGCCACGGCUAACUACGUGCCAGCAGCCGCGGUAAUAC
rnacentral:rRNA from 1 species